rnacentral:rRNA from 1 species
UACGUAGGGUGCGAGCGUCGUCCGGAAUUAUUGGGCGUAAAGAGCUUGUAGGCGGUUUGUCGCGUCUGCUGUGAAAAUCCGGGGCUCAACCCCGGACUUGCAGUGGGUACGGGCAGACUAGAGUGUGGUAGGGGAGACUGGAAUUCCUGGUGUAGCGGUGAAAUGCGCAGAUAUCAGGAGGAACACCGAUGGCGAAGGCAGGUCUCUGGGCCACUACUGACGCUGAGAAGCGAAAGCGUGGGGAGCGAACAGG